CAGGAACUCAGGGACCUGGAAACAAAACAGGCAUUGCAACGAGACCGACAGAAGGAGGUGCAGAGGCUGCAGGAAUGCAUUGCUGAGCUCAGCCAACAGCUAGGUACCAGUGAGCAAGCCCAGCGUCUGAUGGAGAAGAAGUUGAAGAGGAACUAUACAUUGUUGCUGGAAAGCUGUGAGCAGGAAAAGCAGGCACUGCUGCAGAACCUGAAGGAAGUAGAGGACAAGGCCAGUGCCUAUGAGGAUCAGCUACAAGGCCAUGUGCAGCAGGUGGAGGCCCUCCAGAAAGAGAAGCUGAGUGAAACGUGCAAAGGCACUGAGCGGGUACACAAGCUACAGGAAGAGCUGGAGGCCCGAGAGGCCAGCAUCCGCCAGUUAGCCCAGCAUGUACAGAGCCUCCAUGAUGAAAGGGAUCUCAUCAAGCAUCAGUUUCAAGAGCUCAUGGAACGUGUGGCCACAUCUGAUGGGGAUGUGGCUGAGCUCCAAGAGAAGCUGAAGGGAAGGGAAGCUGACUACCAGAACCUGGAGCACUCACACCAC
rnacentral:lncRNA from 1 species